CGAAAUUACAGCAUGCAAAGUGCAUCUGUGUGUGUGUUACAGGCAGCCCAGGGGUUGGGACCACGCUUACAGCCCUUUGGCUUUGCAUUCGAGCUCAGGUAGUCGAUGAAUGGAUUCGUUCUCCUUCCUAUGAGCUUUUAGAAAGGAGGACGUGGAAGGCAAUUCCAGAAGCUCCCAGUGCUGCUGGUGCAUCCCAGUGACAGGGCUGGGCAGACUGGAGCCCUGCCAUAGGGGUUUGGGGGCAGACCCCUCUCACUGCAGACCACAGGAGCACGCCAGGGCUCUCCAGCCUUACAAAAAGCACAGGGAGCACCAGAGCCAGGAAUCCACCGCAGAAGAUGGCGAAGGCCACAGCGUAGGCCAUGAGCAGAGGGAAGGUGGUGGCCAGGGGGCAGAGCAGGUUGGUGACACCGCAGAGCACCAGGUAAGCUGCGUGGUAAUGGUACUUCUUGGUCCAGUUCUGGUCUGCAAUCCACCCUGAGAGCAGCUGGCUGCCCGUCUCGGUGAUGCCUGCAGGGAGAGGACACUGAGCCUCAGGGAAGGGUUCCUUACGUAGAUAGAUGUGUAUUUAUCCCAACUUUUGGUGCUUAUUUUCACAUUUCUGGAUGUGUUUGUGUCAGAUGAAGAUCAGGGGAGGGGGAGCUGUCAGCUCGUCGUGCUGCGUCCCUCCCGCUCUUAAUUAAGGGCGUCAGAUUAAUUGCUGUGGGCUCCUCCUCAGCUCCUCCGCCACAUACCUCAUUCCUACACGUUG
rnacentral:lncRNA from 1 species